GAUGAACGCUAGCAGAACGCCUAACACAUGCAAGUCGAACGGGUUUGUUGACUUCGGUUAACAAAUUAGUGGCAAACGGGCGAGUAACACGUGCUUAAUCUGCCCCGGAGAGGGGAACAACUACAGAGAUGUAGCUAAUUCCCCAUACGCUCAUAGGAAUGAAAAUACUAUGAGGAAACGAUUUAUCGCUCUGGGAGGAGGGUGCGGCCUAUCAGGUAGUUGGUGAGGUAACGGCUCACCAAGCCUACGACGGGUAGCCGGUCUGAGAGGAUGUCCGGCCGCAAUGGAACUGAGACACGGUCCAUACCCCUACGGGGGGCAGCAGUGGGGAAUAUUGGUCAAUGGGCGCAAGCCUGAACCAGCGAUUCUGCGUGAAGGAUGAAGCCUCGCGGGGUGUAAACUUCUUUUUGGGGGAAGACGAAUGACGGUACCCCACGAAUAAGGGACGGCUAACUACGUG
rnacentral:rRNA from 1 species